UUUAGGGAGACCUAAUCCACUCGAAUAUCGAAAAACAAUCAGUUAAAUAGAUAUUGAGUUGGUCUAUCCUAGGUCGGUCGAGAUUGGUAAAAGCUUUCAAAGUAUUGUUAGUUCGGUUUAAGAAUCAUCAAAAGUACAGGGAAUAGUACUUCAGCAACAUGGCUUAUGCCAGACUGCUGGAAGAAUCCAGCCAGAACCUUGAAAACUGCAUAGUAACGCGAAAAAAAGCAGGCAGACGAAUCGAAGUGAUGAGUGCCAAGUGAUGAGUGCUGAUUUUAAUCAGUGUGAAUUACAAAGUAAACAGAACUUGGAAUAAGUUUGCAGUGGUGAAACCAAUGAAUUGU
rnacentral:misc_RNA from 1 species